rnacentral:lncRNA from 1 species
GAAAGAGCAGGCUUCACUUAGACAAAGUUGCGCUGUGAGCGCCCCUCCAGCGUUUGGUUUCAUCCAGCAUUUACUGGGUUAACCUUGAAGCCGAAGCGCGGGGGAGGGGUGGUUCUCCGGAACUUGGACAUCAUUGGCUACGGGUAACCCUGGUAACGCCAUACUUGGGCCUUUUCCGCCUUGCUGGGGCAGAAACGGCGCUAAGGCUUAUGGCCUCCAUCUUAGAACCUCCACUUUACUUUCGGUUUUGCGUGUAGCGAGUUGUGCCUCAUAGAAGAGGAGAAAAAUAUUCUUCGCUCAGAAGUUGGAGCAGAACCCUUUUCGGACCAUUGUGGACGUACCGCGUGCUUUGGACCGAAACGUUUUUUUGGAUUACAUUCGCUGGAUUAUAACAAACAGAAUGAGACCGCACUCGACGUGACUGAGCGACGUUUGGGGCUCAGCAGUCGUCAAAAGUUCCAUUUUCCUCCGGCAGGAAGAAUGGAGGCAGUUUGGACACGGCUCAUCACAACAGCUGAGCGUGAUCAUGAAAGGGCAGCGCGACCCUGCGGGUUUUAUCUGAGCAGCGCUUUGUGUCCGGCUCCCACAUCUAAUACACAAUUAUCUGCCUUGUUUUCAUUUGUUUCGACAGAAUCUCUGAGGGCAGGAAAUUGAAUUUAAGCCCCUGCUGUGAGAUUUGUGCUGCUUAAAGAAGGACCAACACGUGUUGACAGACAAAAGCCCAGGACGCUGCUCCGGCCGCACUUUGGAAUGAGCUGGACUCAUCCGGAAACACUGACACCAGCUCAAACCACAAACGCUGUUCACUAAAUUCUUGUUGUGUGAGAUUAAUUUAUUAAAGUGGUAAUUUUUCCCUCUGCAGCGUGAAGCAUCGACGGAAAAACCUGCUGUAAAUAUUUAACUUUAAUUAAAACCGUUUCAGCAAAAUUCCUCAUUUCCAGCAUGUAAACAAGAGAAAAUUGAAGGAAUCAGCAGCUUAAAGUCUCCAUUUUUAGAAUAAUGUGAUUGUGCUGGAUUUUCAGAUGACAGACCCUCCUCUGCCUGUCCGACACUAGUUCAGCCAGACCCACUCAGCUGCUGCCCGGACAGAAGCGCUUCGCCUGAAUCCGUCAUUAUCCCUCAUGUUGUAGGUCUCUCGGGGCUGGACCGGGUCCGAGUGCUGGUGGUUCUGGCUUCUUUACCUUCUCUCCUCGUGUAGGUGCUUGUUGUCUUGUGUUUGGACCUGCACAUUCUGUCCAGUGAUCAGGUAAAAGCAGCCUGACCCACUGUACUGGUCUGCAGCUGGACCUGCGACAGGCCAGUAACACCAGUCCAGUCCAGUCCAGACUGACCUUCUCCCGGACAUCCCUCCGUCUCAAAGCUGAAUUUCACAUGCGCUCAUAUAUAUUCAGCUGAAGCUCAGGAGAGCUCUUCCUCGUCCAGCGCUGCUCGCACUAAUCACAGACCUGCAGCACCAGGUCGGCCACUGAUAACAAGCCUCAGCCGUCCUGACAGACGGCGCUGUUCAUUAUCCCACAUGCUGUAGGACCGCGGUGUGGGAUGGACUGAAUAAUGUGUAUGUGCUGUUAUUGGCCGGGACCUCGUUAGGAGCCUGAUGUCUGUUUGUUAAACUGAAGGUCACAGCGUCGCCGUCAUGGUUUCACUGUGUACAGUU